AAUUAGGCUAUAAAUCUUGAAUGGUGGCUAUACCAUUUGCAAUGAAACAAUUAAGACCCUUGUUUGGAUCAUAUUGUAUGAUGAAGAUGAGCUCCAAACCUCCAUAUAUAUUCUGAAGAAACUUAGUGCAGGCGUGCGAUGUUUGUGCAUGAAAGAGAUUAGACCUUCAGGCAUUGCUGGGAUUUGCUGAUAAACAACUUCCAUGCUUUUAGAUGCAUGCUUGAUAUCAUGACAGUGCCAAUAAGUAAUCUACCAUCCUGAGUGUCGGGCUUUGUCGUGGAAAUAUGUUCGUCCUCUGAUCUAUAUACCAACUGCCCAUCACCUCUGUUACUGAUUUGAUUUGUUUGUUCUUGACCUAUAGUU